UCGCUCUCUGUGACACAAAAAUAGGGAGUCGUGCCUGCCCAGUGAAUUUUUAAACGGCCGCAGUACCCUGACUGUGCAAAGGUAGCAUAAUCACUUGCUUUUUAAUUGAAAGCUAGAAUGAAUGGCUUGACGAAAACGUAUCUGUCUCUCUUAUAUUAACUAAAAACUAAUUUUUAGGUGAAGAAGCCUAAAUAAACUCAAAAGACGAAAAGACCCUGUCGAGCUUAAAAGUAUUUUUAAAUUAACUAUUUUAGAAAAAUUAUAUUAAAAUAAAUUUUUUGUUGGGGCGACAAAAGAACAAAAAAAGCUUCUUUUUAUUAAACUAACUGAUAAGUUAAAUUGAUCCAUUAUUAAUGAUAAAAAGAAAAGUUACCGCAGGGAUAACAGCGUAAUUUCUUUGGAAAGUCCAAAUUGAAGAAGAAGUUUGCGACCUCGAUGUUGGAUUAGAAAGUCUUUUUGGUGCAGCAGCUAAAAUAGAGGGUCUGUUCGACCCUUAAACUUCUACAU
rnacentral:rRNA from 1 species